rnacentral:rRNA from 1 species
AUUGAACGCUGGCGGCAGGCCUAACACAUGCAAGUCGAGCGGAUGAAGGGAGCUUGCUCCUGGAUUCAGCGGCGGACGGGUGAGGAAUGCCUAGGAAUCUGCCUGGGAGUGGGGGAUAACGUCCGGAAACGGGCGCUAAUACCGCAUACGUCCUGAGGGAGAAAAUGGGGGAUCUUCGGACCUCACGCUAUCAGAUGAGCCUAGGUCGGAUUAGCUAGUUGGUGGGGUAAAGGCCUACCAAGGCGACGAUCCGUAACUGGUCUGAGAGGAUGAUCAGUCACACUGGAACUGAGACACGGUCCAGACUCCUACGGGAGGCAGCAGUGGGGAAUAUUGGACAAUGGGCGAAAGCCUGAUCCAGCCAUGCCGCGUGUGUGAAGAAGGUCUUCGGAUUGUAAAGCACUUUAAGUUGGGAGGAAGGGCAGUAAGUUAAUACCUUGCUGUUUUGACGUUACCAACAGAAUAAGCACCGGCUAACUUCGUG